rnacentral:tRNA from 1 species
GGGCGGUUAGUUCAGUUGGUAGAACGCUUCGUUUACACCGAAGAGGCCAUAGGUUCGAGUCCUAUACCGCCCA